rnacentral:rRNA from 1 species
CAUCUCAGCAGUAGGGAACUUUCGGCAAUGGGGAGAACCCUGACCGAGCAACGCCGCGUGAAGGAAGAAGGAAUUCGGUCUGUAAACUUCUGUUAUAAAGGAAGAACGGGGGAUAUAGGGAAUGAUAUCCGACUGACGGUACUUUAUGAGAAAGCCACGGCUAACUAC